AUGCACAGGUUGCCCGUCAUCCUCGAAACUGAAGACAUGGGAUGGAACCUUGGGAAGAAGCUCGGCACCGUCCUCGCCGUGUCGCACCGCAGCCACCAGAUCGUGGACGAGCAUCUUGGGGUCCGGGCUGAGCAUCAUGUGCAGAAGCCUUUGAGGAAGAACGUCGACAUAACCAUAAAAGGUAGCAACAAAGAGAUUCUUUUUGAUGUCAAGUAUGAAAAGCUGCCAAACUUUUGUUUUUUCUGCAGCUUGGUGGGGCACACGACGGAAAAACUCUGUAGCUUACCCAGCGCCGGUCCUCGAGUUUCGGUGCCCCGGGGGCGAACUCAAAUGAAUGGGCCCAGUGGCGACAUUGGAGGAAAAAAAUGA
rnacentral:rRNA from 1 species